GCACGUAUAGCUCAGUGGUAGAGCACAUCCUUAGCAUGCCCCAGGUUCUGGGUUCAAUCUCCAGUACCUCCA
rnacentral:tRNA from 1 species